GACGAACGCUGGCGGCGUGCUUAACACAUGCAAGUCGAACGGAAAGGCCCUGCUUUUGUGGGGUGCUCGAGUGGCGAACGGGUGAGUAACACGUGAGUAACCUGCCCUUGACUUUGGGAUAACUUCAGGAAACUGGGGCUAAUACCGGAUAGGAGCUCCUGCUGCAUGGUGGGGGUUGGAAAGUUUCGGCGGUUGGGGAUGGACUCGCGGCUUAUCAGCUUGUUGGUGGGGUAGUGGCUUACCAAGGCUUUGACGGGUAGCCGGCCUGAGAGGGUGACCGGCGACAAUGGGACUGAGAUACGGCCCAGACUCCUACGGGAGGCAGCAGUGGGGAAUAUUGCACAAUGGGCGGGAGCCUGAUGCAGCAACGCCGCGUGCGGGAUGACGGCCUUCGGGUUGUAAACCGAUUUCGCCUGUGACGAAGCGUGAGUGACGGUAAUGGGUAAAGAAGCACCGGCUAACUACGUG
rnacentral:rRNA from 1 species